rnacentral:lncRNA from 1 species
AAUCAAUACACUAGAAAUGAGCAGCGCAAGGUCUUCUUGGUUUCCCAGUGGACUAAUGUGGAUUAAUUCAAACACAUGAAGGUCCACCAAGGAAAAGAAGGGAAGAGCUCUCCGACAAAUCAAUGCAAUCUCUCAGUCUUCUGUCUUGGAUGAUGUAGGAAUUGAUGAUGCUCAAGUCCUUACUUUGACCAGAGAAGAUCUGAAUGAGCUUUUUCCAGGUAUUAAGAACUUCCAGCUCAGAAGGACCAUUGUGGUGCUUAUCACGGACACAGUGAAGAUGAUGCCGCUGUACAGGAUGUUUUGAAGGAAUCCCUUCGAGCUUUUAGAUUAGUGGAGGAUCAGCUCAAAACAGCACAGGCAUCUUUGAAACCGUACAUUGAGGUCUUGAACAGUUUCACUGAGGCAUCAGCUAGACAAGAGGACUGGGAUACAGAGGGAACGUCAAGCAGGAGAAAAUUUCCAAGCUCAUUCCAAAAAGAUAUGACCUCUCCAACCAUAGACUACUUUUGGUGAGUAAGAGUUAGAGUACAUGCCCUUUCAUCC